rnacentral:rRNA from 1 species
UACGGAGGGUGCGAGCGUUGUCCGGAAUCACUGGGCGUAAAGGGCGCGUAGGCGGCCUGUUAAGUCGAACGUGAAAUCCCCAGGCUUAACCUGGGAACUGCAUCCGAUACUGGAUGGCUUGAAUUCGGGAGAGGGAUGCAGAAUUCCAGGUGUAGCGGUGAAAUGCGUAGAUAUCUGGAGGAAUACCGGUGGCGAAGGCGGCAUCCUGGACCGAGAUUGACGCUGAUGAGCGAAAGCUAGGGGAGCAAACGGG